GUUGCUCUCCCGUGCACCCCCUUUUAUGUUCUCAGUUGCUGCAGUUUGGGUGCCAAAUACCCUGCUGGGAUUUGUGUAGUUGGGCACCUGUUCCCCCAGAUGGUGGCGCUAUUUGGGGGAGGUUCUGGAGCUUUUAGGAGGUGGGGCUGACCUGGAGGAAGUGUGCUGUUGGAGGGAGGUGGCAAGCCCUGAGGUGCACAGGCUCCCCAGGCUUCCUGUGCCCUCUGCUUUCCUUCCGAUCCUCAUAGAUGCGAGCAAGCAGCCUCCUUUCCCUGCAGCCCCGUGGGAGCUGUACCCAUCGCCGUGAUUUUUGGAUUAGUUUUGAAUGAGUUUCACGAGCCUGCUUCUGAAGUCCUGGGAUCUACACUUGGAAAACUGAUGCUCUGACUUGGAACCCUUGUUCACUCCGGUGUUUUGCUUUGGACAAUAAAUCUCAUUGAGUCGUUUUCUUCUUUGACAAAUGUGAGGACGAUACCUUCCCAUAGUGCAUAGAAGACAAAACGGGAUAACACAUUUUCGGCAUAAUCUCUAGUAAUGUUACAUUUUUUUUUCAAAAAGUUUUGCGCCUUCUAAGAAAGACUGCUCAGCAUCCUUGUUAGACACAUUCCUCUAUUAUUUUUCCCUUUUUCUGGUUUUCUUUGCUUUGAUUUUUGUUGCUUGGUAGUUUAAUGUUUACCUCCUCUUUCAUCCCAGUUCCUCUCCUGUCCAAUGUCUUUCUCCUAUUUCAUAAAUUUAUAUUUUUAAAUAAAAUCUUCUUUUGUUA